rnacentral:tRNA from 1 species
GCCUGGGUGGCUCAGUCAGUUGAGCAUCUGACUUCAGCUCAGGUCAUGAUUUCAAGGUCUGUGAGUUCAAGCCCUGCGUCAGGCU